GAUGAACGCUGGCGGCGUGCCUAACACAUGCAAGUCGAGCGGCAGCGAGGGGUGCUUGCACCCUGUCGGCGAGCGGCGGACGGCUGAGUAACGCGUGGGAACGUUCCCUAAAGUGAGGAAUAACUGCCCGAAAGGGUAGCUAAUACCGCAUAAUAACUUUGAAUCAAAGGAUUUAUCCGCUUUGGGCGCGGCUGGCGUCGAUUUAGGUAGUUGGUGAGGUGAUGGCUCACCAAGCCAACGAUGCGUAGCCGACCUGAGAGGAUGAAUAGCCACACUGGAACUGAGACACGGUCCAGACACCUACGGGAGGCAGAAGUAGGGAAUCGUACGCAAUGGGCGAAAGCCUGACGGAGCAACGCCGCGUGAGUGAUGAAGGUCUUCGGAUCGUAAAACUCUGUUAUUAGGGAAGAACAUAUGUGUAAGUAACUGUGAACAUCUUGACGGUACCUAAUCAGAAAGCAACGGCUAACUACGUG
rnacentral:rRNA from 1 species